GGCUGUUGUUAUCUUUAAAAUGGAAACAGAGGAGGUGCUGCAAAAUCUCAGCCCCUCUCUUUGAAGAUCACAGUGCAGGAGUUGUGUUUGUAACAAGAAGCCUCCUCUCUGAUCAGUGUUGACUUGGAUAGAGCAAGAGGGAAAUCAAGGAGCCAAAAGAUGCUUUAAGUGCGCAUCCCAAAAACAGACGUUGGGUGUGAAUUGACCAUACUCUACAGGAGUGGAGGAAAGAAGGGACUCAGCCGAAUAAAGCCCUAAGGUGUAGGGCUGGGACGGACAGAAAAAUGUGAGAACCUCUGUGUUCAGCUCCCACAAAUCUCCAAAGGGGCCACCAGGACUGUACAGAUCUGCUUUUGUGUGCCGCAGGCUGCAGGACUUCCCUCAGGCAGCCUCGUGCCUUUUUAGAAUGGGAAUCUCCCUCUCCAGAAGAGACAUCAAGUGGGGAGGAACACCUGAAACACCACUCAAUAUUUGAUCACCUACUUGCUGCAGCGUGGUGCAGAGAACGGAGUUAGACUCCAAAACAGUCCAGUUUAGGAGACUGGGAAAACUAGG